rnacentral:misc_RNA from 1 species
AAAGAUAUAGCAUAUUCUUCUGAAUAUACUUUAUUAAACCCAUUCCGAGUACCUUACCCGUUGCUUCCGCGAGGCUGUCCUCACGGCCCUCUGAAGAUUUAUCUUUGGGGAGUCCUUGCGGAAGGUAUACAAUAAACUCUUGCAUUACCAUGUCAUCUGUCUGAAUCUGUUUUAAAACAAAUAUUA